rnacentral:rRNA from 1 species
UGCGGUGUGGGAUGGGCCCGCGGCCUAUCAGCUUGUUGGUGGGGUAAUGGCCUACCAAGGCGACGACGGGUAGCCGGCCUGAGAGGGUGACCGGCCACACUGGGACUGAGAUACGGCCCAGACUCCUACGGGAGGCAGCAGUGGGGAAUAUUGCACAAUGGGCGCAAGCCUGAUGCAGCGACGCCGCGUGAGGGAUGACGGCCUUCGGGUUGUAAACCUCUUUCACCAGGGACGAAGCGCAAGUGACGGUACCUGGAGAAGAA